CUCGCUUGCGUUACCGCCAGC
rnacentral:misc_RNA from 1 species